UACGUAGGGCGCAAGCGUUGUCCGGAAUCAUUGGGCGUAAAGAGCUCGUAGGCGGCCUGUUGCGUCCGCUGUGAAAUCCCGGGGCUUAACCCCGGGCGUGCAGUGGAUACGGGCUGGCUGGAGGCAGGCAGGGGAGAACGGAAUUCCCGGUGUAGCGGUGAAAUGCGCAGAUAUCGGGAGGAACACCGGUGGCGAAGGCGGUUCUCUGGGCCUGUACUGACGCUGAGGUGCGAAGGCGUGGGGAGCAAACAGG
rnacentral:rRNA from 1 species